rnacentral:rRNA from 1 species
GAUGAACGCUAGCGAUAGGCUUAACACAUGCAAGUCGAGGGACCGGCGCACGGGUGCGUAACGCGUAUGCAACUUGCCUCACAGAGGGGGAUAACCCGUCGAAAGACGGACUAAUACCGCGUCCUGUGAGCUAGGCAUGCGUCCCAUUAGCUAGUUGGUGAGGUAACGGCUCCACAAGGCCACGAAGGGUAGGGGAACGGAGAGGGGGCACCCCCGGACUGGUACUGAGACACGGACCAGACUCCUACGGGAGGGAGGAGUGAGGAAUAGUGGGCAAGGGGCGAGAGCCUGAACCAGCCAAGUCGCGUGAAGGAGGACUGGCUAUGGAUUGUAAACGUCUUUUGUAGGGGAAUAUGUACCCUACGAAUAAGCAUCGGCUAACUCCGUGCCAGCCGCCGCGGUAAUUC